rnacentral:rRNA from 1 species
UACGGAAGGCAGCAGUGGGGAAUAUUGCACAAUGGGCGCAAGCCUGAUGCAGCCAUGCCGCGUGUAUGAAGAAGGCCUUCGGGUUGUAAAGUACUUUCAGUCGUGAGGAAGGUGUUAAGGUUAAUAACCUUAGCAAUUGACGUUAGCGACAGAAGAAGCACCGGCUAACUCCGUGCCAGCAGCCGCGGUAAUACGGAGGGUGCGAGCGUUAAUCGGAAUUACUGGGCGUAAAGGGCACGCAGGCGGUUAAUUAAGUUGGAUGUGAAAUCCCCGGGCUUAACCUGGGAAUGGCAUUCAAGACUGGUUAGCUAGAGUCUUGUAGAGGGGGUAGAAUCCAUGUGUAGCGGUGAAAUGCGUAGAGAUGUGGAGGAAUACCGGUGGCGAAGGCGGCCCCUGGACAAAGACUGACGCUCAUGUGCGAAAGCGUGGGGAGCAAAC